UCGGAAAUGCUGUAACCAGUGGGAGGAGGGCGGGAGAGAGAACCACAGACCUGACUAGAAAAACUCCUUGACUUAACACAUCACCCUACCGGAGCCGCCAAGGGAAAGAGGCAGAGAAAGAAAAGGAGCGAGGGGAAUGGCAGAACAGGGAAGGACAGGAAAAGCGAGAGGAGGGUGAAGGAGGUGGCUUGCAUCCGUCUAGAUCAUCUCCCCAGGUCGCUGCAGGUUUCUCCUUGGAGCCGGACAGACAGCAGCAUCACAAAGACCCCAGCAAGGUCCCUGAUCGCUUCCACGGGCUGGGCUCCCCAGCUCCAGAUAUGCUGAGUUCUGGGAGCUGGGGCUGAGUUGUCAGCAGGACUCGGUGCAGCUGACCCAUGUGUGCCCACAAUCCCGGGGAAUAGGCCACGGCCAGCUCUGCAGACGGCUACAGAAACGCCAUGGAGGAAACCACCAGUACGGAUGUGAGUGGAGGUCUCUCCCCCAUCGCUGGAGCACGGGACGCGGUGCCUGAAGUGACUUCAACACAAAGUUCGAGUUUAAAUGUGGUGUCGGUGAUUCAGCAGCGUCAGAAUUUGAGAAUCCUCCUGUCCCCACUCCUGUUCAAUUAAGAAAACACACCCAAAUUCAUGAACUUUGUGGCCCGCUCCUUGACACCUCCUAUGUGCCAAUUUUUUGUCCCACACCAGGAUAUGCUCCAAGGGUUCAACACGGGAAUGUACCACACUGAGGCAACAGAGACCACGGAGGAUGGAAAGAGGGAGAAUGACCUUUUUAAAGAAUGGAAGUACACACAC
rnacentral:lncRNA from 1 species